GUCUACAGCCAUGCCAUCCUGAACACACCUGGUCUCGUCUGAUCUCAGAAGCUAAUCAGGGUCAGGCCUGGUUAUUACUUGGAUGGGAGACCACCUAGGAAGACCAGGUGCUAUAGGCA
rnacentral:rRNA from 1 species